UACGUAGGGGGCAAGCGUUGUCAGGAUUUAUUGGGCGUAAAGAGCGUGUAGGCGGCCUUACAGGUCAGCUGUGAAAACUCGAGGCUCAACCUCGAGACGCCGAUGGAAACCAUGUGGCUAGAGUCCGGAAGAGGAGAGUGGAAUUCCUGGUGUAGCGGUGAAAUGCGCAGAUAUCAGGAAGAACACCCGUGGCUAAGGCGGCUCUCUAGUACGGUACUGACGCUGAGACGCGAAAGCGUGGGGAGCGAACAGG
rnacentral:rRNA from 1 species